GUGGGGAAUAUUGGACAAUGGGCGAAAGCCUGAUCCAGCCAUGCCGCGUGUGUGAAGAAGGUCUUCGGAUUGUAAAGCACUUUAAGUUGGGAGGAAGGGCAGUAAGUUAAUACCUUGCUGUUUUGACGUUACCGACAGAAUAAGCACCGGCUAACUUCGUGCCAGCAGCCGCGGUAAUACGAAGGGUGCAAGCGUUAAUCGGAAUUACUGGGCGUAAAGCGCGCGUAGGUGGUUUUGUAAGUUGGAGGUUGAAUCCCCGGGCUCAACCUGAGAACUGCCUCCAAAACUGCAUGACUAGAGUACGGUAGAGGGUAGUGGAAUUUCCUGUGUAGCGGUGAAAUGCGUAGAUAUAGGAAGGAACACCAGUGGCGAAGGCGACUACCUGGACUGAUACUGACACUGAGGUGCGAAAGCGUGGGGAGCAAACAGGAUUAGAAACCCGAGUAGUCC
rnacentral:rRNA from 1 species